GACGAACGCUGGCGGCGUGCUUAACACAUGCAAGUCGAACGGAAAGGCCCUGCUUUUGUGGGGUGCUCGAGUGGCGAACGGGUGAGUAACACGUGAGUAACCUGCCCUUGACUUUGGGAUAACUUCAGGAAACUGGGGCUAAUACCGGAUAGGAGCUCUUGCUGCAUGGUGGGGGUUGGAAAGUUUCGGCGGUUGGGGAUGGACUCGCGGCUUAUCAGCUUGUUGGUGGGGUAGUGGCUUACCAAGGCUUUGACGGGUAGCCGGCCUGGGAGGGUGACCGGCCACAUUGGGACUGAGAUACGGCCCAGACGCCUACGGGAGGCAGCAGUGGGGAAUAUUGCACAAUGGGCGGAAGCCUGAUGCAGCAACGCCGCGUGCGGGAUGACGGCCUUCGGGUUGUAAACCGCUUUCGCCUGUGACGAAGCGUGAGUGACGGUAAUGGGUAAAGAAGCACCGGCUAACUACGUG
rnacentral:rRNA from 1 species